rnacentral:rRNA from 1 species
AGAUUGAACGCUGGCGGCAUGCCUAACACAUGCAAGUCGAACGGGAGUAGCAAUACUCUAGUGGCGGACGGGUGAGGAAUACGUAGGAAUUUGCCCUUAAGUGGGGGAUAACCCGGGGAAACCCGGAUUAAUACCGCAUGACCUCGAAAGAGCAAAGUGGGGGAUCGCAAGACCUCACGCUUUUGGAGAAGCCUACGUCGGAUUAGCUAGUUGGUGAGGUAAUGGCUCACCAAGGCGACGAUCCGUAACUGGUCUGAGAGGAUGAUCAGUCACACCGGAACUGAGACACGGUCCGACUCCGUACGGGAGGCAGCAGGUGGGAAUAGUUGGACAAGUGGGCGACAAGCCUGACUCCAGCAAUGCCGCGUGUGUGAAGAACGGUCCGUUGGUUAGUAAAGCGUACGUUUAAGGUUAGGGAAAGUAAAAACGUCGACUACUAACAC